UAUUUUUGUCAUAUUAUAAUAAUAUUCAUAUGUCCAAAUUUAUUACAGUGUAUCUCUUUUAGUAAAUUUCUUUACUUCUUAUUUAUAUAUUUUUACUUAUUAUAUAUAUAUAUAUAUGUAUUUUUUAGAGAGACUCAAUGGUACAUACGUUCUAUCGUUCAGCAGAUAGAUAUUACUGUAGAAUUGCGUUUACAAUCCUACAUUAAUGCUACUGUUUCGUUGUAAAUCAGUUGCAAUACGACAGAUACGUUUAAUUAUGCGCGGCACGCAAACGCGAUUACUUUAAUAAUGUUAUUAGGCAUUUAAAGGAAUUAUUAAAAGGUUUAAUGACUUUUACCGUGAUCGCGACAAUUUUUCUACGCUGUAUCAAAUGUAUAGGAAUAGAAGACGCUUCGAUAUGAAGAAGAGUCGCAAAGGAGCGGCUCUCCAUGUGAGACGGUAAGAUAAUUAGUUACGCCAGAAAAAAUUGUGCGCGAACAACUUAAUAGCAGAUCUAUUAGGCUAUUAUGUUGCAUAUCAAAGUAUAGAAUUUGAAAUAGCGAAAUUAUAACAUAAGUUCUAAUUCGGAUAUUAUACGUUUCGUGCACGUCCUGUAACGAAACAAAUCACAGAACAUUGUAGAUCGCUUGAUGAAAAGCAGCUCGAUUUACUAUGAAAAACAAAGUCGGCAAUGUUGAAAACUUAUUUGUUCACUUAGAACGGAUCUUUUCCAUCGGAGGAAUAUGGCCGUUACAGCGGACGUAUGCCCGUUUCGUUAUUUAUAUGUCAUAUUAUUCGCUUCAUCUCGUCAUGGCGUAUACCGACUUGUACGAUGUUUUUGGUAAUUUGGAACUGAUGGUGAUGAAUCUCGUGGAAACAGUGGUUUAUUCCAUAACGUUCCCGGUAAUGUUCCUGAUAAAGUGCAGCAAUCUGCUGAAGCUUUUAAUCGGCGUAAUAAAGAGGGAUAUGGUGGAGCACAAAUUUGAAAAUUCUGAGGAAGAAAGGCUUUACUACAAUUACAAUUAUAUAUCCAAGAUAUUUAUAUAUGGUUCAACCGUCAGUAUGUUCUCCACAGUCUUAUUAAUGUACCUUAGACCACUUAUAUAUCUCGUAACCACUAAAGCAUUACAUCGUAACAGUUCGGAGUCGUUUACAUUACCUUUCCGAGUCCAUACAUUUUUCGAAAUCAGUAAUACUCGUACAUACGUGCUGACGUACCUGUAUCUAAUGCCGCCGAUAUACACGUCUAUUUGUCACAUGGCAGCGGUUGGCCUGUUGAUUGUCUUAGUAUUCCACAUUUGUGGCGAAAUGUCCAUUUUGUCAUAUCGCAUCAGACACGUUGGUGAAUACUCGCAGACCAUGAUAAUAGACAGAAUUCGUAGCUUUGUUCAAAUGCAUGUCAAGAUAAUAUGGAUGGCAAAAUCCGUCGACGACAUUUUCAAUUUUAUUCUUUUGAGUGAACUCGUCGGCAAUAGUAUUGUAUUGGCUAUCUCGUUGUAUUACGUCAUAAUGAAUUUGGAAGUGGCAGAAUUAGCAACCUGCUGCACUUUUAUUUUUUUCGCCCUUACUGCGCUUCUCAUGCUCUUCGGAUAUUGCUUGAUUGGUGACCAACUAACUCAACAGUGUAUAAACAUACAGAAUGCAUACUAUGAAUGCAGCUGGUACGAAAUGCCGCUCAUUUGCAAGAAGUGUCUGCUAAUAUGUAUGCUUCGCGGUCAAAUUAUGCUCUACUUAACUGCUGGACGAUUUUAUAUAUUUUCUUUAAACAGUUUUACAGACGUAAGUGUGUUGAAAUAUUUUUUUCUAAAAAUAAUAAGUAAUCGAUAAUAAAUCAAUACUAAAUCAAUAUCAAAUUGAUAUAAGAUUUGAGAUCAUAGAUUACAGUUAAGAAGUUUACAUUCAAAUUGUAAAUCAAAAAAUAAUUAAAAAAUUGAUAUCAUAUCAAUAUUAAAUCAAUAUCAAAUCAAUAUUAGAUUUGAGAUCGUUGGAUUACAGUUAAGAAGUUUACAUUCAAAUUGUAAAUCAAAAAAUAAUUAAAAAAUUGAUAUCAUAUCAAUAUUAAAUCGAUAUCAAAUCUAUAUUAGAUUUGAGAUCGUUGAAUUACAGUCGAGAAGCUUAAGUUUAAAUUGUUUAAUCCUCACUUCAAAGAAGUAAGGGUUAUAUUUAUUUUACAGAAUUCCUUAUUAUUUUCCAAUACAUUCUUAUUUUUAAAUAAAUGAAUUUAAAACAAUUUGAAAAUUAUCUCUUCGAUUAAUCUUUUCCGGAAAUUUUUAAUCAGUAAUUUUUUUUUUAAAUAAAAUUCUGUGUAAUAUUAUAUAAUAGUAUACAUUGAUGCAGGUUAUCAAAACUUCCUUGGCAUACUUGUCGAUGUUGCGUACUCUAUUAUGAAUAAUUAUGGGAAAAUUUAUAUAUGAUUCAUAUAUACGAAUCUGUAUGUUAGAUAGACAGAUAAAGAAGUACACAUAAAAUAUGCAUCUUUUGUAUUGCAACAUAUGUAUAAUCGAUUAUCAAUCAUCGAGCAAUGUAUAUAAUUACAAAUUCAACUUAUUGCAAUAUUACUGAAAUGUUCUGUGUUACACGAAAGAAUGAUUGUGUGUGCAACAGCACAGCUUUUAUCAAUAAUCGCUUAUCGAUCAUUGAGUAUUGAUAAUUGAUUUUCUUUCAAAAAUCGUAAUAGAAAAAUCAAACAAAACUCAUAUAGCAAAUAAAUUAUUUAAAUUAAAAUAAAAAUUCGAUUGAAGACACAUAAGAAAGUUAAUGUCUAAUUUUUCAACCAGAGUUACAUCACUCAAUAUCUUCGGAAAUUCAUAAAGUUGCACGCACGAUCGUUCCUAGAACCAAUUGGCAACAAUUUGUAUUUGUAGUUACGUACGUAUAGAUCUACGUGUAUACCGAAAUCAUACACACUGAAAAAAAUAGUUGUUAAAUUUUUCAACUUGCUUAAAUUUCUUUUUUAAUUUAAGUAUUUAUAUAUUUUAGUCAAAUAUAUAAAUAUUUAAAUUAAAGUUCAAGCAUUUUAUGUAUUUAAGUUAAAUAUUUGAACUAAAGAAAUUUAAUCAAGUUGAAAAAUUCAGGCAAAUUAACAUUUUUUUCUCAGUACAGAUCUACUUUUGAUGUUAAGAACCAAUUAUAAAAGAUAACUAAUUUUACAUUGGAUUAAAGCACAGGUGGCUCAAGUAACACGCUUAUAUGCAAUUCAUAAUUUUUUUGCGCAAUUGCCUAGUCCUGCAUUCUAUAGACAGCUAUAAGGUAUUAACAGAGAUUACUUGCGCUCCCGCAUUUGUAUAUUUGGUGUAGUUUCAUGCGAGCUUUCGAGGAAAGAACAGCGUAUAGAGUGCAAGCGAUGUGCAAGUAAGUUGUAGAUUCUUAUUAAUAUUGCAAUACGCUAUAAAAAAUUAUAAAAUGUAUCAUUUUACAUGUUUGAUAUUACAGAGGUUUUUAAGUCUUUUUUUUUUUUAUUUAAACCGUGUGCUUAAGGUGUUGACAUAUAUCGAGGUUUGCCUAAUAUCAACAUAAAGUUUUUGACUCAACCGUGAUUUCUCGUCUCGAUUAAUUUUACUUCAGUCUCCAUGUGAUUCUGAAAUACUUAAAAUAUCUGGAUCUUUAUUUGUUGAUGAUGUUGAACACAUGAUCGUAACUUUGACAAAGGAAUUCUCAGACGGCAUUCUUAGAUACUUGUGAUAAGAAAAAUGAUGACAUUUAAUGGAACAUUUUUGCUCAUCUUUUAAUCAAAUUUGAAUAUAACUGUCUGAGCGAAUCGCAUCUGAGCAUGUGAUCACCAUGUUGCGUCACUAAGAUGUUAUUUCAUUGGUUAUUCUCUUCUCCUCUCUACUUUCACUUCUUUAUUGGCAUUUUCGACUGAAGUAAGAUUGUAGAUUGUUCCAAGAAAGCUUGACGAUAUCAUCUAUUUAUUCGGAAUUAUUAAUGCAAUAAUGUAUUAAAAACUUUCCUACAAAAAAAUGGCAAUGUUCAUUAAAAAUAUCAUAUUAAUAUACAUUUUUGAUGAAUUAAAAUUUAAAAAAUAUUUUGUACACAAUCUCUUACAUUGUUUACAUUUCAACAAAAAGUAUAAUACAAAAAAUUGUACUAAGUGACAAUGGAAAUAAAAUAAUUAUAUGCAAA
rnacentral:lncRNA from 1 species